rnacentral:lncRNA from 1 species
GCCUACUUCGAAGAACUAACGGUGUACGGAUAGGGUGCCAAAGCAUCCAAACGGUCCCACCCAGCGAAGCGCGACAAGUCGACGUUGUAGGCUCGAUCCCAUUUUGGGCCCCACGAAUCAA